rnacentral:rRNA from 1 species
GAUGAACGCUGGCGGCGUGCCUAAUACAUGCAAGUCGAGCGAACAGAUGAGGAGCUUGCUCCUCUGACGUUAGCGGCGGACGGGUGAGUAACACGUGGAUAACCUACCUAUAAGACUGGGAUAACUUCGGGAAACCGGAGCUAAUACCGGAUAAUAUAUUGAACCGCAUGGUUCAAUAGUGAAAGACGGUUUUGCUGUCACUUAUAGAUGGAUCCGCGCCUCAUUAGCUAGUUGGUAAGGUAACGGCUUACCAAGGCAACGAUGCGUAGCCGACCUGAGAGGGUGAUCGGCCACACUGGAACUGAGACACGGUCCAGACUCCUACGGGAGGCAGCAGUAGGGAAUCUUCCGCAAUGGGCGAAAGCCUGACGGAGCAACGCCGCGUGAGUGAUGAAGGUCUUCGGAUCGUAAAACUCUGUUAUUAGGGAAGAACAAAUGUGUAAGUAACUAUGCACGUCUUGACGGUACCUAAUCAGAAAGCCACGGCUAACUACGUG